rnacentral:rRNA from 1 species
UACGGAGGGUGCGAGCGUUGUCCGGAAUCAUUGGGCGUAAAGCGCACGUAGUCGGCUUUGCAAGUCGGGUGUGAAAUCCCCGGGCUCAACCUGGGAACUGCAUCCGAGACUGCAUUGCUAGAGUAUGGGAGAGGGAAGCGGAAUUUCUGGUGUAGCAGUGAAAUGCGUAGAUAUCAGAAGGAACAUCAGUGGCGAAGGCGGCUUCCUGGACCAAUACUGACGAUCAGGUGCGAAAGCGUGGGGAGCAAACAGG